UACGUAGGUGGCAAGCGUUGUCCGGAAUUAUUGGGCGUAAAGCGCGCGCAGGCGGUUCUUUAAGUCUGAUGUGAAAGCCCACGGCUCAACCGUGGAGGGUCAUUGGAAACUGGAGAACUUGAGUGCAGAAGAGGAAAGUGGAAUUCCAUGUGUAGCGGUGAAAUGCGUAGAGAUGUGGAGGAACACCAGUGGCGAAGGCGACUUUCUGGUCUGUAACUGACGCUGAGGCGCGAAAGCGUGGGGAGCAAACAGG
rnacentral:rRNA from 1 species